GGGUCUGUGGUCUAGGGGUAUGACACUCCCUUAGCAACAUCAACACCGCUUCACAAGAGCGGUCUAGAUCGAGCUAAUUCUGAAAUGGGAGAGGUCCCGGGUUCAAUUCCCGGCGGAUCCA